rnacentral:rRNA from 1 species
CUAUCUGCAGUCGAGCGGAAGAAGGGAGCUUGCUCCCGGAUGUUAGCGGCGGACGGGUGAGUAACACGUGGGUAACCUGCCUGUAAGACUGGGAUAACUCCGGGAAACCGGAGCUAAUACCGGAUAGUUCCUUGAACCACAUGGUUCAAGGAUGAAAGACGGUUUCGGCUGUCACUUACAGAUGGACCCGCGGCGCAUUAGCUAGUUGGUGAGGUAACGGCUCACCAAGGCGACGAUGCGUAGCCGACCUGAGAGGGUGAUCGGCCACACUGGGACUGAGACACGGCCCAGACUCCUACGGGAGGCAGCAGUAGGGAAUCUUCCGCAAUGGACGAAAGUCUGACGGAGCAACGCCGCGUGAGUGAUGAAGGUUUUCGGAUCGUAAAGCUCUGUUGUUAGGGAAGAACAAGUGCAAGAGUAACUGCUUGCACCUUGACGGUACCUAACCAGAAAGCCACGGCUAACUACGUGCCAGCAGCCGCGGUAAUACGUAGGUGGCAAGCGUUGUCCGGAAUUAUUGGGCGUAAAGGGCUCGCAGGCGGUUUCUUAAGUCUGAUGUGAAAGCCCCCGGCUCAACCGGGGAGGGUCAUUGGAAACUGGGAAACUUGAGUGCAGAAGAGGAGAGUGGAAUUCCACGUGUAGCGGUGAAAUGCGUAAAGAUGUGGAGGAACACCAGUGGCGAAGGCGACUCUCUGGUCUGUAACUGACGCUGAAGAGCGAAAGCGUGGGGAGCGAACAGGAUUAAAUACCCUGGUAGUCCACGCCGUAAACGAUGAGUGCUAAAUGUUAGGGGGUUUCCCCCCUUAUUGCUGCAGCUAACGCAUUAAGCACUCCCCCUGGGGAGUACGGUC